rnacentral:rRNA from 1 species
GACGAACGCUGGCGGCGUGCCUAAUACAUGCAAGUCGAACGCAGUGGGGACGGGUGAGUAACACGUGGGUAACCUCCCAUCAGAGGGGAUACCACUUGGAAACAGGUGCUAACACGAUACUGAUGGAUGGACCCGCGGUGCAUUCGCUAGUUGAUGAGUUACCGGCUCACCAAGGCCACGAUGCAUAGCCGACCUGGGAGGGUGAUCUGCAACACUGAGACUGAGACCAGGCCCAGACUCCUACGGGAGGCAGCAGUAGGGAAUCUUCGGCAAUGGACGAAAGUCUGACCGAGCAACGCCGCUUGAGUGAAGAAGGUUUUCGGAUCGUAAAACUCUGUUGUUAGAGAAGCGGUAUCUAACCAGAAAGCCACGGCUAACUACGGGCCAGCAGCCGCGGUAAUUC